AACGAACGCUGGCGGCAGGCUUAACACAUGCAAGUCGAACGGUUGUAGCAAUACAGCAGUGGCGCACGGGUGAGUAACGCGUGGAUAUCUGCCUUUUGGUUCGGAAUAACUCCGGGAAACUGGAGCUAAUACCGGAUGGUUCCUACGGGAUAAAGAUUUAUCGCCAAAAGAUGAGUCCGCGUACGAUUAUCUAGUUGGCGGGGUAAUGGCCCAACAAGGCUACGAUCGUUAGCUGGUCUGAGAGGACGAUCAGCCACACUGAGACUGAUACACGGCCCAGACUCCUACGGGAGGCAGCAGUGGAGAAUAUUGGACAAUGGGGGCAACCCUGUUCCAGCCAUGCCGCGUGAGUGAUGAAGGCCUUCGGGUUGUAAAGCUCUUUUGGCGGGGACGAUGAUGACGGUACCCGCAGAAUAAGCCCCGGCUAACUUCGUGCCAGCCGCCGCAGUAAAAC
rnacentral:rRNA from 1 species